AUUACGAUGCUCGACCAAUCCUCUUGUAAUAUUUUGCAAGUGUAGUAGGAUUUUAUUUUAUCACGUCUAUCAGCUGAUUAAUAGUGUAUCUUUUUAGUGAUUUACGACUGGCAAACUGUAGAAAAGCAUAAAGUUAGUAGAAAGAACGUAUAACAAAGUGAUCACCUGUACAACUUAUAAGGAAUUACAAUGCGUUUAGUAAUUUGUGAUACAGUAGACUAUGUCUCUGAAUGGUCUGCAAGAUAUGUUUUAAAAAGAAUUAAAGAUUUUGAACCAAAUGAAAACAAAUAUUUUGUUCUUGGUCUUCCUACAGGUGGUACUCCUCUGGGAAUGUAUAAGAAAUUAAUAGAAUAUUAUAAAGCUGGAAAAAUUUCUUUUAAAUAUGUCAAGACAUUUAAUAUGGAUGAAUAUGUUGAUUUACCAAGAGAUCAUCCGGAAUCAUAUCAUUAUUAUAUGUAUAAUAAUUUUUUUAAACAUAUAGAUAUUAAUCCUCAAAAUGUUCAUAUUCUUGAUGGAAAUGCACCCGAUCUUGUAAAAGAAUGCGAUGAUUUUGAAAAAAAAAUUAAGGAAGCUGGUGGAAUUGAACUUUUUAUUGGAGGUAUUGGACCAGAUGGCCAUAUAGCCUUUAAUGAACCAGGUUCUUCAUUAGCAUCUCGUACUAGAGUUAAAACUUUAGCGCAAGAUACAUUGGAAGCAAAUGCUAGAUUUUUUGGAAAUGAUAUUUCCAAAGUUCCUAAACAAGCCUUAACUGUUGGCGUUGGUACUGUUAUGGAUUCAAAAGAAGUAAUGAUACUCAUUACUGGAUCUCAUAAAGCAUUUGCUCUGUAUAAAGCAAUAGAGGAAGGAGUUAAUCAUAUGUGGACAGUGUCAGCAUUUCAACAACAUCCACGUACAUUAAUCAUAUGCGAUGAAGAUGCAACUUUGGAAUUGCGUGUAAAAACAGUAAAAUACUUUAAGUUUGGCAUUCAAUUUGUGUGCUAUCCAGGGUCUCAGUGCUGUACAUCGUAAAUUGAUCGAAGAAGAUGGACAUACCAUACCACGUCGUUCAAUAAGUGACAGUUAAAACGAAUUUAUGGGAUAUCCAUAGCAAGUUGAUAGAAGAAUCAAACCAUGGAUUACGUUGAUCCAAUAACCGAUACCUGUGUAAUGUAAAAGACUUCAUGUGUGAAAAGGACUCGAAAAUAUUGAUCUGAAAUUUCAGUUCAGACUGCCAUGGUAAAAUAUUUUUGUGAUAAACAAUGCUGUAUCAUAACUGUUUACUUAUGUAUUACUGUUUUAUAUAUAUAUAUAUAUAUGUGUAUGUAUAUAUAUAUAUACAUAUACAUAUAUAUCUAUAUACAUAUACAUAUAUAUAUACAUAUAUAUGCACAUAUUAUAUAUAAGUAUAUGUGCACACAUCUAUAUGCAUACAUAUAUACAUAUAUAUGUGUAUAAGUAGAAUUUCAAAUUGUACAAAAGUGCAAUAUUUUUAUACUGUUAAUACCCAUUUUUCAUAAAAUAAAUUUAUCCUUUUAUCACAUUGUCAA